CUGCAAGCUGGGGAAGAGAGAAGCCAGUCGCAGCUCAGUCCAAGUCUGAAAGCUUCACAACUGGGGAAGCUGCCAGUGCAGCCUUCAGUCUGUGGCCCAAGGCCCGGGAGCCCCUGAAAAGCCACUGGUGCAAGUCCAAGAGUCCAAAGGCCAAAGAACCUGGAGUCUGAUAUCCAAUGGCAGGAGGAGCUUGGAGGAAGCUUCCAGCCCGGGAGAAAGAAGGAAGCCACAAAACCCAGCAUCAAGUUUCUCCCACCUUAUUCUGCCUGUUUUGUUCUAGCCGUGCUGGCAGCAACUGCAUGGUGCCCAGGCACAUUGAGGGGAAGUCAGAAAUGCCUUGUAGACCUCUCCUAUCGUGUCCGGAAUUGGUGGGUUCUUGGUGUCACUGACUUCAAGAAGGAAUCCGCAGACCCUCGCGCUCAUUGGCUAAAACAACAUUGAUACAUUUUUUGCGCAAAGAUGGAGGCCUCCCUUUGUCCUCACCAAAGCCAGUAGGUCAGUGGUUGUCAAAGGCGACAAUGCAUCGGUAUUGUCUGAAGAAAUUUUCAAAUACCUGCUCCUUUCUAGGAUCCAGACACAGGAUAAGGUAAGAUG
rnacentral:lncRNA from 1 species